rnacentral:tRNA from 1 species
AAGGGAGACCUAAUCCAGUAGGAGACGAAAAAAAAGUAGUCCCUACCAAGAAUCAAUCCCAAAAGGUCGGAGCGAGGCAAAAUUGGCUUUCAAACUAGGUUCUGGGUUCACACAAGACCUGAAUCAGGAACAAGGGCUAUUAGCUCAGGUGGUUAGAGCGCACCCCUGAUAAGGGUGAGGUCCCUGGUUCGAGUCCAGGAUGGCCCACCUGCACAGGUGGAAGAAAGAAAAGAAGCUCCGAAUCAGCACCUUAUCUUACUUAUAUAGUAAGAGAGAAUGCUGGCUCUGAGUACAGAGUCCAGAGGAACCUUGAAAACUGCAUAGAGCUAGGUGAAAAAGCCAAAAAAGAAGACCGCAAG